UACAGAGGUCUCAAGCGUUGUUCGGAUUCAUUGGGCGUAAAGGGUGUGUAGGUGGCGCGCUAAGUCGGGUGUGAAAUUUCGGAGCUUAACUCCGAAACUGCAUUCGAUACUGGCGUGCUUGAGGACUGGAGAGGAGACUGGAAUUCAUGGUGUAGCAGUGAAAUGCGUAGAGAUCAUGAGGAAGACCAGUGGCGAAGGCGGCCAGCUGGGCCGGUUCUGACGCUGAGGCGCGAAAGCGUGGGGAGCAAACAGG
rnacentral:rRNA from 1 species